UACGUAGGCAGCGAGCGUUGUUCGGAGUUACUGGGCGUAAAGGGUGUGUAGGCGGUUGUUUAAGUUUGGUGUGAAAUCUCCCGGCUCAACUGGGAGGGUGCGCCGAAUACUGAAUGACUUGGAGUGCGGGAGAGGAGAGUGGAAUUCCUGGUGUAGCGGUGAAAUGCGUAGAUAUCAGGAGGAACACCGGUGGUGUAGACGGCUCUCUGGACCGUAACUGACGCUGAGACACGAAAGCGUGGGUAGCAAACAAG
rnacentral:rRNA from 1 species